UUUUCGUAGGUGAACCUGCGGAAGGAUCAUUAAAGGUUUGCGACUCCUCCGGGGCCCAUCGCCCCCCCUUGACUACCAACAUUGUUGCUUUGGCGGGCCGCGUCCCUGCUGCCGCCGGCCCCGGGUGGCGAGGGCCCGCCAGGGGGAUCUAAAAUCUGACUUUCAGUGAGUCUGAGGUACGAUACAAUGCUAAAAACUUUCAACAACGGAUCUCUUGGUUCUG
rnacentral:misc_RNA from 1 species